rnacentral:rRNA from 1 species
GACGAACGCUGGCGGCGUGCUUAACACAUGCAAGUCGAACGGAAAGGCCCUGCUUUUGUGGGGUGCUCGAGUGGCGAACGGGUGAGUAACACGUGAGUAACCUGCCCUUGACUUUGGGAUAACUUCAGGAAACUGGGGCUAAUACCGGAUAGGAGCUCCUGCUGCAUGGUGGGGGUUGGAAAGUUUCGGCGGUUGGGGAUGGACUCGCGGCUUAUCAGCUUGUUGGUGGGGUAGUGGCUCACCAAGGCUUUGACGGGUAGCCGGCCUGAGAGGGUGACCGGCCACAUUGGGACUGAGAUACGGCCCAGACGCCUACGGGAGGCAGCAGUGGGGAAUAUUGCACAAUGGGCGGAAGCCUGAUGCAGCAACGCCGCGUGCGGGAUGACGGCCUUCGGGUUGUAAACCGCUUUCGCCUGUGACGAAGCGUGAGUGACGGGAAUGGGUAAAGAAGCACCGGCUAACUACGU